UGGGGAAUAUUGCACAAUGGGCGCAAGCCUGAUGCAGCGACGCCGCGUGGGGGAUGACGGCCUUCGGGUUGUAAACCUCUUUCGCUAGGGACGAAGCCAUCCUUUGGGGGUGGUGACGGUACCUGGAUAAGAAGCACCGGCUAACUACGUGCCAGCAGCCGCGGUAAUACGUAGGGUGCGAGCGUUGUCCGGAAUUACUGGGCGUAAAGAGCUCGUAGGUGGUUUGUCGCGUCGUCUGUGAAAUUCCGGGGCUUAACUCCGGGCGUGCAGGCGAUACGGGCAAUACUUGAGUGCUGUAGGGGAGACUGGAAUUCCUGGUGUAGCGGUGAAAUGCGCAGAUAUCAGGAGGAACACCAAUGGCGAAGGCAGGUCUCUGGGCAGUAACUGACGCUGAGGAGCGAAAGCAUGGGUAGCGAACAGG
rnacentral:rRNA from 1 species